AUUUUUAAAAUGAUGAUUUACGAUUUUACCUUGGGACACCUAUGAAAGAUCUUGAUUAGUGUAAAGUUAUGUUUUUCUGAUAAAA
rfam:Drosophila ananassae strain TSC#14024-0371.13 Ctg01_19338, whole genome shotgun sequence.